GGUCCCGUGGUGAAGUUGGAGUUCACGCCGGCCUGUCAAGCCGGAGGUCGCGGGUUCGAGUCCCGUCGGGACCGCCA
rnacentral:tRNA from 5 species